GCAGCGGAAGGAGACUGCUAGGCUGCAGGCAGGAGAAGGGACUCGCUUCUUUGUGUUUUCACAGUGGCAGGCGGUCCCUGCAGAAUUCCCGGCCACGGCAGUCAGGUCCACAUGCAGCUAAGCCCUUCAGAAAUGUUGUUCUUCACCGUGGGGGCGUGCUGCUCUCCUGGUCCUGAAUGUGCCUGCCAGAGUAUACAAAAUAUACUCAGAAGAGGAAUUCCACUGAAUCAGGAACUUCUUGAAAAGAAGGGAGUAAACAAAAACCAGGAAAAUUAGCAAAGGUAGCGAUAAUCAUCCCGGCAGAACUGGCAGUUUCCAAGUAUUUAAUUCACUGCAAGCAAGCAUCUUCUUUACUGGAAAAAUGUACUACAGCCGAGGCAGAAAAUGGAAAGGAGAAGCUGUUAGCUUCAUUUCACCUAAAACAAGAUACUGCCGCUCCGUUACACUUUCAAAGAUACUAGAAGGUUUAAACUUCAGUGUUCCAGAGAUCCAUCUGGGCUCCAGGGCAUUUCUCCUGAAGAUGCAUAUUACACUGGUAAUAGAAUUCAGGAGUUAAGGCCCCUAGACCACUGUAGCGCAUUUCAUCAGCCAGGUGAUGGACCUGCAGUGCUGCAGAACUGUGGUAAUUCAAAGAUUUUGUCCCAGAGAGGUGAACAGAG
rnacentral:lncRNA from 1 species